GUUAGACACUGACGGAUAGGUUGAUGGUCAUCUGUGGCAUUAGAAGGUUACUUCUGCCCACUACCUGGCUGGUUUUUGAUUUUUCCCAGUGUCUCCUGCUUCUUCACCCUGUUCUUGUGUACUGCGGUCUUAGAAACUCAUGAGCAUGGAAGCAGCCUGCCUCACAGUGUAGCCUUCUGCCAGCAGAACCAGGAUUAAACCAGAAUUUAACAAUGCAGAUUUUAAAAAAGUAUAUAGAGUGGUCUCUUAAUGUUUUACAGAGCUGUGUAUUGUUUAUAUGUAUUUAUUUUAUCUUAUAGCUGCAUGUUUGAACCUGAGACCAGUUUUGAAAUGGAGUCUGUUUCAGAAUACUACAUUCACACCCCCAAAACCUUCAUAUCCCAAAUACUGCAUCAUGAAAGGUGAAAAUUGGGAGUCUGAUCGAAAACCAAAAUCAAGCUGCUGCUGUGAGCUCCUGCUGAGCACCCUGCUUGGAGGCAUGUAGACUCGACGGACGCUACGGAGUGUUCCAGUGACCGCCCACUAAUACAUAUCUGCAUCAUAUAUGUGGGAAUGAUGAGAUUCCUCCCAUUGUUCAGCUUAAUCUUAAUCAUUAACAAUUGUUUGCUUAUAAGUAAAUGAAUUUUCUCUCUGUGUUCUUCCUAUCACAUUCCCUUGGGGUGUAUCGUAUUACAUUUUUAAAUGUUUUAAUGACAUAUAGUUUUAGGAACAUCAGCACCUGCACUGUAGUAUUCAAUUCAAUUUAUUUUAUAUAGCGCCUUUUAAUAAAGAAAGCCGGAAGACAAUGGAGGAGAGGAACCAAAAGCUCCCAAGUAAGGAGAAAAAAAACCUCUGGGGGUCCAAGGUCAACUGUCUGCCGACCCCCCCUGGGAAAACUAGCAUUACCGAAAACAGAAAAGAGUUGACAUGCUUGUGAAAAGAGAGAUUUAUGCUGGGAUUAAGAAUGAAGACAAAGUCCAUCAAUGAGUCCGUUAUGCAUGUUGGCCUGUGAAGGAUGGCCAAGGUCCAUUCUCCACGUUGGGCUGUGCCGGGUGGCACUGAAGGCUGCACCCACGGUGAUAUAUUUGGUAUGACCCAUUCGUGAUGUCACCCCUCCAUGGGACUGACCCAGGACUCCAGCUCAGAUGCUGCCCACUUCGGGCUCCACCCAGACAUGUGGGAAGGCAGAGAGUAUGGAUGGUCAGAACAUGUGUUGACACAUAAACGGACAAGCAUAGUAGAUAAAAAUGACAUGUACAGCAGCACCAGCAGCCAUAGUUAUGGUGCGGUAGGUCGUGGGCAAGAUAAACUGAAGUAAUGGGUCUUAAAGGCCGAGAACGAAUCGGCAUCCCGAACGUAGGCUGGUAAACCAUUCCACAAGUAUCAGUCCUACAGUAGUGUGUAAAUCUUCCAGAACAUCAGCACCUGCACUGUAGUAUCACUCCUCCUGUCCUUUAAUACUACAAAGGGCAUUUCAUACUCCACCCCUGUGCAAAUGAGUCCCUGUUUCCUUCCUCCCUCCUCAUUUAAACAGCACAUUGUUGACUCUCUUUAAACCCUCAGUAGUUCCUAAGGAACACGGUGAAGAGCAGCUCACAGCAGAUCAUCUUCAGCACCGACCAUGAUCUCUGUGUCUGCUGCUGCUGGCAGCUGCAACCUGUAAAUCUCUGUGUUUCUUCAAAAAGAACAAAGAUCAACAGAACAACAGAAGAGUGAAUAAAGAACCAGCAGUGAUGUGUGAUAAUGAUAUUGUCUGUUUCACACUCAUAUGUACUUUGCUUUCUUCUUGAUUACAGGUGUUCACUGUAAUGUUCAACUCACACAGCCAGGAUCUAUGACAGUGAGACCAGGAGAGUCUCUGACCAUCUCCUGUAAAGUCUCUGGUUAUUCACUGACUGACAGCAGCUAUGCUACACACUGGAUCAGACAACCUUCAGGGAAAGAACUGGAGUGGGUUGGUUUUAUAUGGUAUCAUGGAAUCACUGGUUACAAAGAGUCUCUUAAGAAUAAAUUCACCAUCUCCAGAGACACCUCCAGCAACACAGUAUAUUUACAAGGGAGGAGCCUGCAGACUGAAGACACAGCUGUGUACUACUGUGCCAGAUACUCACAGUGAGAGAAUGUAAUGGGAGAGUGAUACAAAAACUGGACACCUGUGCCCACCCCAGGCGGGAGGCCCACCAUGCACCGGAGAGCAGAGGCGUCAAAAGUACACGCAUUCUUCACUCAAGUAGAAGUAUAGAUACCUGUUUUUAAAAAUACUCUAGCAAAAGUUGAAGUAUUGACUUCACUUUUUUACUCAAGUUAAAGUGAAAAGUACAGGCUUUAAAACUUACUUAACGUAUAAAAGCAUAAAGUACCCUUGCAAAGCUACCAUUUUAGGGCAGAGCUGACUGGACCCCAUGUACAAGUAUUAUGUAGAACGCAAGCAGAGUAAAAUAAAGCCACAUAAAUAUUUAAA